AGAACGAACGCUGGCGGCAUGCCUAACACAUGCAAGUCGAACGUGAUCCAGGCUUCGGCCUGGUGAAAGUGGCAGACGGGUGAGUAACGCGUGGGAACCUGCCCUGUGGUAGGGAAUAACCGUGGGAAACUGCGGCUAAUACCCUAUGAGUCCUUCGGGAGAAAGAUUUAUCGCCAUAGGAGGGGCCCGCGUCGGAUUAGGUAGUUGGUGGGGUAACGGCCUACCAAGCCUUCGAUCCGUAGCUGGUCUGAGAGGAUGAUCAGCCACACUGGGACUGAGAUACGGCCCAGACUCCUACGGGAGGCAGCAGUGGGGAUAUUGGACAAUGGGGGCAACCCUGAUCCAGCAAUGCCGCGUGGAUGAUGAAGGCCUUCGGGUUGUAAAGUCCGUUUCGGCGGGGAAGAUGAUGACGGUACCCGCAGAAGAAGCCCCGGCUAACGUUCGCGCCAGCAGCCGC
rnacentral:rRNA from 1 species